CCGGGCCGGGAGGCGCCGGGAUGGACGCGCUGAAGUCGGCGGGUCGUGCCCUGCUGCGGAGCCCCAGCGUCCACAAACCCUCCUGGGCCGGCGGCCGGCACAAGAAGCUCCCAGAGAACUGGACUGACACCCGCGAGACGCUGCUGGAGGGGAUGCUCUUCAGCCUCAAGUACAUGGGGAUGACACUGGUGGAGCAGCCCAAGGGAGAGGAGCUCUCUGCAGCUGCUGUCAAAAGGAUUGUGGCCACUGCGAAAGCAAGUGGGAAGAAGCUGCAGAAAGUGACUCUGAAAGUCUCUCCCCGGGGGAUCGUGUUGAACGACAGCAGCACGAACGAGCUGAUCGAGAACAUCUCCAUAUACAGGAUAUCCUACUGCACGGCAGACAAGAUCCACGAUAAAGUGUUUGCCUACAUUGCCCAGAACCAGCUCAAUGAGAACCUGGAGUGCCAUGCCUUCCUCUGUACCAAACGGAAAAUGGCACAGGCCGUCACCCUCACCGUGGCACAGGCCUUCAAAAUUGCCUUUGAGCUCUGGCAAGCAGCUAAGGAAGAGAAGGAAAAGCGGGAAAGGUCCAUCUUGGAAGGAGAAGGGACGAGCAGCCCCAGCUCAGAAGCCCCUGCCCGCCCUGACACACCAGCAGCCACGGGGAACUUGCUGGAUUUUGAAGAUCCUGCCAAAUCACCCCUGAGCAGCAGCACAGACCCCCCCCACUUGGAUAACAGCGUGUUUGGGCCCAGCUCCUCUGUGAACAACAACGUGGUGUGGGAAAUGGAUGAUGGUCUCGACGAGGCGUUUUCAAGGUUGGCUCAGUCAAGAACAAACCCUCACGUCCUCGACACGGGGCUGACAGCUCAGGACAUCCAGAGUGCAGAAACGCUCUCCCCUGUAGACUGGAACAAAAUAGAUUCCACCACAGGCGAGAAGGAUGAUCUGUUCAUGUUCUGAGGUCAAAUGCAUCUAAGAGCUGACUAGAGAAUAACCACUAAAAGUCUCUGGACUGGAUCGUGCUGUUGCAGGUGCUGUACACAAGGGACUCUUCUAAGGGCUCUUCUCCAGGUCAGGUGAUGUUACAGCACAGUUUAGACCAAAGCUUUAGAAACCUGAUGCAGAUUUUUAUACCUUGUUUUUAUCUAAACCACGAGAUGCUCUUGAACAUAUUUAUUCCCAGCCGUUACCGUUUACAUGUGUUAUUGGAAGGCGUGGAGAGCAUCUACAGUGUUACGUGGCAAUAAUACCAUGGGAGAACCUUCAGCAGUGCCUGUUGCUCUCUGAAAACAGACUGUGCACCACCAAAGUCCCUCUGUGUGUAUCCUCUAGACAAAGGUCUGCAGAUGCAAAUGCAAUUCCAAGCACAACUGUUACUAAUCCACUGAUUCUUGAACAACACGUCACCUGCCUGGGCGAGGGGAGGAGAUUUGCAGCAGCUGCUGACAGUGUUAAAUCAAAGAGGUGGCAGAGAUCUUGCUUUUGUAUGAAUGUCUGUGACACUCUCACAGUUGUCAAUCACCCCUGCGGGUUCUGGCCAUUUCUUCACCAGCUCCAUGUGGGAAUUGACACUUUUUUUACCCAAAGACUCUGCGAAGUUUUGCACUUUAAAACUUGAACUGAAAGCAAUGGUCCGAGUUGUCGAGGUAAGCAGUGCCUGUAUUUUCUCUUCAGAAGCUAUUUACCCAAAAAUAACCCAACCUGGCAAUGCUGCAGCUCUGUUUCAAAGCUGAUUCCUCAUGUCCACCAUCUCUGAUGCGACUCAAAAUACUGAAGCUCCUUUGCACUGUUGGCUUUGAAAGCAAAACCACCAAGGAGGAAUGAUUUGUUCUGCUAAAGCGUGUUGGAAGUGGCAGCUUGGGUGGACCAGCAGCAGGAUAGGUCUGUGUUCUCAGCCUGGCUGAGUGGAUUUGCCUGUCCAUGACUUCUUACUGCCUCAAAACCAUUUGGUUGUUGCUCACUCGAUGGACUCCAGUGGAAUUGGAUUGGGCAAGACCAAUACCUGGAUGUUCAGUUAGCAAGAGGUGCCCCUUCCAGGUACUUGGAUCCCCUGCUCCCUGACAGCCACAGCUCCCAGGAGGCUCAGGAAGCUGCUUCAUCUGCUCCUGGAACUGAAAAUAAGUAAUGGAGGAAGUGAUUGGAAACAUCCUUAGGAGGUGUGUGUCUGUUGGACAGCUGAUUCCAGUGCCAUCCAGGUGGGAAGAGGGCUGCAGUCAGACACUAGUCCGUGGUUCUGCUUCCAGGAAGUGCUUAUGGGACUGGAUGUUGCCCCCUGGGAUGCACAGAGGGAUGUACAGUCUGUCCCUGCAUUGGCCUCCAGGAGCCAGGUGAUUCUCACCAACGUCACUGCUCCCGUGCCAGGGCCGCCGCGCUCCCCUCCCUGCGAAAGGAAUCGGGAGAGGCAGGUUGGGAACAUCGACCCCGUCGAGGUUUGGCUCUGAAAUCCCCGCUGGCUCCUGUGAUUUAUCACUCACCCAGCUGCUGCUCUCAGCUUGGAAAAGAGAAGCGAGGAGGGAAAAAAUAUGGAUUUUUAAAAGCUUGGCUUUAAAGCCCAGGGGCUCAGGCCAAAGCUCCUGUCCUGGCUGAGGGAACGGGGUGGGAACCACGUUGCUGGUCACAACUGGGAUAAAACAGCCACCCACGUCAGGCUGUGGCCAAGCAGGGAUUCUGCUGCCUACUCGACCUUGGCACACAGGUCUUUUGAGGUAUGACGUGAGGAAAAACAGUGUUUGGGUACCAGUUUAUUCCCCAGGCACCUUGUUUGCCCCAAACUUCUGCCACCACGGUUUCCACUUUGGAAUCACCAAGCCAUCGUCUCUCCGGCCACGCGGGGGGAUACCCAGGGGGAUUUUAACUCCCCUCCUUUUAAACCAACCACUCUGCAAAUUCCUCUCCAAAUCUCUCACUUUCUGCCUCCAAGGUUUGGGGUUUUUUUUUUAUUUCACCUUUCCAGCCAUCACCAUCAGCAAUUUCUCGCCCAGCAAAAAAACUCCAACCUCCACACGAGAGUCUUCCCGACGUUCCCUGCAAACCACAGCAGCAGUUUCUGUCUCGGCUGCUACAAUCCCACGGAUGGUAACACCACUCCAGGCAAAGUUUUGGCUUUAAAAGCCUUCAUGAUGAUACUUUGCAGGGAGUUAUUUGGCUUGUACCUUUGUGUUUCCAUCUCCCUCCGCUGAUCUUGCUGUAACAACCCCCCCAAACCUGCUGCUUGUCAGGUCUUGUUUUAGCUACAACCCUCCUCCUCCCCCUGCUUUUAAUGUGACAUCCCAGCACCCGGCCUGUCACUUGGCUAUUGCCUCUAUCACACACUCAUACAUACGAGCCUCAGGUCUAAUUAAUGUAAUAAAAUGUGUAAAAGCAGUAAAUCUGCUCAGAUGUGGCAAUUUUAUCACUUCUAUACGCUGUCACAGCACAAGUAAAACUGACAGCAAAGAAUAAAACAGUUAUGUCUCUGGCAUUUUUUACUACUUUUAAUAUGCUCUCUUUUUUUUUUCCUCUUUGUUACUGGAAAUUUAAAUUAUAAUGGUAUGCUUCACUUAAAGAAAGUAUCCAUAGCAACAGGAACAUCUAAAUUAUUGCAGGCUGAUCACUUCUCUCCUGGAGUCACAUCACAUGCCUUUCAAAGACAGUCCCAGAGGUGCGGGAUUUUAAUAGAAUUUUUUUUUUAACCUUUUUUGCAAACAAACAAGCGUAUACACAGCACUUUCCCCAUCAAUACACUACCUACAGACAAAUCUAAACCGAGAGUCACUGCCAGCACAUUUGGCUGCCCAGAGAGGGGAGUUUCAGGCUUGCUCUUUCUGAGUCCGUGCCUCCUGGUCAUCCCAUGUGAAACAAGAAUUUCCAUGGAGUUCAGCUGA